AAGCAGGGGAUCGUAAGACCUUGCGCUUUUGGAGUGGCCGAUGCCUGAUUAGCUAGUUGGUGGGGUAAGGGCCUACCAAGGCAACGAUCAGUAGUUGGUCUGAGAGGACGACCAGCCACACUGGGACUGAGACACGGCCCAGACUCCUACGGGAGGCAGCAGUGGGGAAUUUUGGACAAUGGGCGAAAGCCUGAUCCAGCAAUGCCGCGUGAGUGAAGAAGGCCUUCGGGUUGUAAAGCUCUUUCAGUCGGGAAGAAAAGGUUGUGACUAAUAAUCACAAUUUAUGACGGUACCGACAGAAGAAGCACCGGCUAACUACGUGCCAGCAGCCGCGGUAAUACGUAGGGUGCGAGCGUUAAUCGGAAUUACUGGGCGUAAAGGGUGCGCAGGCGGCUUUGUAAGUCAGAUGUGAAAUCCCCGGGCUUAACCUGGGAAUUGCGUUUGAAACUACAAGACUAGAGU
rnacentral:rRNA from 1 species